rnacentral:hammerhead_ribozyme from 1 species
GUUUGCUGAAGUGUCCCAAACAGGACGAAACAGCUGUCCAAUAC